GAAAUGCGAUAAGUAAUGUGAAUUGCAGAAUUCCGUGAAUCACCGAAUCUUUGAACGCAUAUUGCGCCCUCUGGCAUUCCGGGGGGCAUGCCUGUCCGAGCGUCAUUACGCACCCUCAAGCCCGGCUUGUGUGAUGGGCCCCGGCGUCUCGUUCGCGAGACGGGCCCGAAAGGCAGCGGCGGCGUCGACCCGAUGAGCCCGAGCGUAUGGGGACUUCUGUCACACGUUCGCGGUGCGGACCGGCGCCUGCUUGACUUUUCUGAUUAUCCAGGUUGACCUCGGAUCAGGUAGGGAUACCCGCUGAACUUAAGC
rnacentral:misc_RNA from 1 species